rnacentral:rRNA from 1 species
CAUUAUUGAAUAAACCUGAUGUGACUGUUAGCUGGCUUUCCGAAGCAUGUGCUCGUCCGUCAUCUUUAUCUCUCCACCUGUGCACAUUUUGUAGUCUUGGAUACCUCUCGAGGCAACUCGGAUUUUAGGAUCGCUGAGCUGUACAAGUUGGCUUUCCUUUCAUUUCCAAGACUAUGUUUUUAUAUACACCAAAGUAUGUUUAAAGAAUGUUAUCAAUAGGAACUUGUUUCCUAUAAAAUUAUACAACUUUCAGCAACGGAUCUCUUGGCGCUCGCAUCGAUGAAGAACGCAGCGAAAUGCGAUAAGUAAUGUGAAUUGCAGAAUUCAGUGAACCAUCGAAUCUUUGAACGCACCUUGCGCUCCUUGGUAUUCCGAGGAGCAUGCCUGUUUGAGUGUCAUUAAAUUCUCAACCUUUCUAGUUUUCCGACUAGUCAGGCUUGGACUUUGGAAGUUGCUGGCUCAGACUGAAUCAGCUCUUCUUAAAUACAUUAGCAAAGACAUUUGCUGACCAUCAUUGGUAUGAUAAUUAUCUAUAUCAUUGAUAAUCAGUUCUCUUCACAGAGAAGGUCUUGCUUAUAAUGGUCUUAUAAAGACAACUUGACAACUUUGACCUCAAAUCAGGUAGGACUACCCGCUGAACUUAAGCAUAUCAU